rnacentral:tRNA from 1 species
GUGUUGUGGCUCAGUGGUGGAGUGCUUGCCUACCAUGUGUGAGACACUGGGUUCGAUUCUCAGCACUGCAUA